UACGUAGGGGGCUAGCGUUGUCCGGAUUUAUUGGGCGUAAAGAGCGUGUAGGCGGCCAGGUAGGUCUGCUGUGAAAACUCGAGGCUCAACCUCGAGACGUCGGCGGAAACCAUCUGGCUAGAGUCCGGAAGAGGAGAGUGGAAUUCCUGGUGUAGCGGUGAAAUGCGCAGAUAUCAGGAGGAACACCGAUGGCGAAGGCAGGUCUCUGGGCAUUAACUGACGCUGAGGAGCGAAAGCAUGGGGAGCGAACGG
rnacentral:rRNA from 1 species